AUUGAACGCUGGCGGCAUGCCUUACACAUGCAAGUCGAACGGCAGCACGGGUGCUUGCACCUGGUGGCGAGUGGCGAACGGGUGAGUAAUACAUCGGAACAUGUCCUGUAGUGGGGGAUAGCCCGGCGAAAGCCGGAUUAAUACCGCAUACGAUCCACGGAUGAAAGCGGGGGACCUUCGGGCCUCGCGCUAUAGGGUUGGCCGAUGGCUGAUUAGCUAGUUGGUGGGGUAAAGGCCUACCAAGGCGACGAUCAGUAGCUGGUCUGAGAGGACGACCAGCCACACUGGGACUGAGACACGGCCCAGACUCCUACGGGAGGCAGCAGUGGGGAAUUUUGGACAAUGGGCGAAAGCCUGAUCCAGCAAUGCCGCGUGUGUGAAGAAGGCCUUCGGGUUGUAAAGCACUUUUGUCCGGAAAGAAAUCCUUGGCUCUAAUACAGUCGGGGGAUGACGGUACCGGAAGAAUAAGCACCGGCUAACUACGCG
rnacentral:rRNA from 1 species